UCUUGGUAGAAUGCCUUUUUUUCUGUAUGGCUUAAUUACUGUUGCUUGAAAAUGAAAUCUAAUUGGCAGGUAUGGUUGGUGGUGGGGGGGGGGGGGGGAUUGCUAAUACACCAAUGGAGAUUAUGGAUAAAAUUUGUCAGACAAAAAAAAUUAAACUUCAUCACAAAAACCAAAUUGUACCGGUAUAUCAAAAUCCUCAAUGAUAUCAUGGUCUUAGAAAGGAGGCAUAUUUGGCAAGGUGUCAGUAAUGCGAUCAGACAAGCAGCUGGUGGGACAGGGAAAUCAAGGCCAACUAUGCCCUCCCCGAGUCCCUGGGCGAUGCUAUGCCCAAAUACGCACUGCCAGCGAAAAUAUGCACCGUCACGGCCGAUUCAUCACAAUUCAGCACGUCAAUACACUGAGCAUGAAGGUUUUAGCUGGACGUGACAUCAACCCAACGACAGUCUUUAAAUUAAAUAUCAUAGAGGCGCAUGAUACAAAAAGAAGUGCUUUACGAUUAUUGUUAUUUCUCCGUUUGCCUACCCGGGCAUGUAACGUUAAAUUACUUAAACUAAACUGUUAAGCAUCAAAUCUUCGCAUUUCACGAAAAAAUAUUAUUUACAAGCAUUAUUCUAAAUGGUUUUGGCGUUUUAACCAGCUUCACCGAAUUCAUAUGGCACAACAAUGAUCACAAAAAAAUUUGAUUUUAACGUCUCGUGUGCAGCAGUGCGUCAUUUUGAUCGGUUUCAUUAAAGUGAUGAUCAGCUAGUGGGGAUCAGCUAGUUAUACUACGUUAGCUAAAUAGCAUUCUCUGAAACCUGGAGAUUUCUUCACAUCAUAUGACUGUAUCUUCCCACAACUGCUUUUUUCCUGAUACCCCAAGGGUACAACCAUAAAUAAGCAAGGGGAAAGCAGAGAGGGUUACAGACAGACAGGUUGGACCACAGCAUAGAUAGUACCAUGGCACGGAAUCAAACCCUCAACCAGGGGAGGGGAGAGGGGCAACUUGUAAAUGGUCAAGGAAUCGGCUGCCUCACGGACUAUGCCGUACACUUCGCCUGAAAGCCCAACUGUAACACAGGACUUUGACAUCGGAACAUGCCAUAAGAAAGGUUUCAGCCUUUCAGUCUGUGUUGGUUCAGCUGCGUUCAGUUACUCUGAGGUAUAAUUACAUUUCCCCACAGGUAAAAAAAAAAAGGUCCAGUUAUGGUGGAUUGUUAUCUUGUUUACUCCUUCUGAGUUGCACGCAGCUGCAGUUGCGGCUGGCAGGAAGUGCUUCCUGAGAAGACUUCCUAUCGGACAAGGGGAAUGGGGUCUUACGGCAUUGCCCCCUCCUGACGGCACAAUUUGUUCCGGCAGUAACCCGCAGCAACAGGACUAGAAUGGCUGUGUCAG